AGCUCCAAUAGCGUAUAUUAACGUUGUUGCAGUUAAAAAGCUCGUAGUUGAAUUCAAAACGUGGAUCGACUGGUUCAUCCUCAGGAUGGUACUGGUGAUCCUGUUUACAUGGCCGUGAACUUUGGAUGAUCUUAAUCGACUGUCUUUAGUAAUCGGCAUGUUUACUGUGAACAAAACGAAGUGAUUAAAACAGGCUAAUGCCUGAACGGUGGUGCAUGGAAUAAUGAAAUAAGACUUCGGUUUUAUUUUGUUGGUUUUAGAGAUCGAAGUAAUGAUUAAAAGGAACUGACGGGGGCAUCUGUAUACCAGGGUUAGAGGUGAAAUUCUUAGAUCCUUGGUAGACAAACUAUUGCGAAAGCAUUUGCCAAGAAUGUUUUCAUUAAUCAAGAACGAAAGUAGG
rnacentral:rRNA from 1 species